UUUUUUCUUCAACCAAAAUAUGUGAGUUUCCCAUAUGUGAGUCACAUUCUUGCACCAUUACGAUAAAGCAUCAAAAACUCAUAUAUUCCUAGCAAAAUAUACAAACUACAAAAAUGUUUUCUCCAACCACACUCAACUCUAAUUCUAAACAUACAUUCAAUUCAUUAAAUUCCACAACUUUCUACCCAAAAUAAAACAAUAUCGUCUUAUUGCUGGUACACCUCUGUCUUUAUUUAUUUAUGUUUGGAUGAUGAAAAUAUUUGAAAAAGUCAUUUCAGAAACAAGUUGAAUGAAUACACGCACAGCAGGUACUUGAACAAAACGAGGUAGAAUAGUUUGAUUAUUCCUACAUUAAAUUAGAAAAUUAAUGAAGAAACUAAUGGUUGUGGUCUUAACUCUUGACCACAGUGACAGGACAGGUGGCAUUAUUCACCACGUAGUUGCUGACGCUGCCCAUUAUGACCCUGGAAAAGGAAAAUGAAAAAAAAAGAUUGAAAUUCGGAUCAUUCAUUAUAUCAGAAGAAACGUAAAAAACCUCAGUAUCUGCUAUGCUGUGUUUUGGAGGAAUGGGUUGAAAUAGUAAGCACCUUUGGAGAGGUCCAAGGCCUCUGUUGCCGAGGGUAAGGUAGUCUAGAGGUACCUGAUCAAUCGCUUCACAUAACUUCUCACGAGCAUCUCCCCAAUAGAUCUUCAUUAUUACCAUAAUCUGCCAUCCCAAAAUCUUCCAACUUACUCUUAUGUAAUGCUAUGCACACAACUAACAAAUAUUUCUACUUCUCUUUCAUAAAGAGUUAGAACAGAGCAAGACAAAAAAUGGCAUGCUUAUUUUUGUAAUUUAAAAACUAAAUUCAAUAUUUACAACCCUAGGAGAAAAUUUACCAAAACCAUACAUUUUUUUGCCUGGCAGCAGUUUGGACUAUAUCAAUUACAUUGGGGUCGGGGUUGAAUUCAUAUUUCUUCAUGACCGCAGGUUCAGAGAACUCAGACAGAGGUAUCAGAGCUGCGUUUGCAUCAAUACACACACUAAAUAAGCAAAUUAAAAUCUCAAACAUGCAUCCGCUCCCCAAUUAGAACCACAGAACGACUACGAAUGAAAUUUUGUUCUACCUAUAUUUUUACGAAUUUGACGUAAAUAAUUUGUAACAGAUAAAAUCAUUAGAAUAUUCGAUCAAGGGAUUAGCAGUGCUAACGUGAACCAGUGGUUUCCCAGAGCUGCAUCUCGCCGUGCUCGUAAUUGGAAGCGUGGCGAACCACGAUAAGAACGAGAUGAUCUCCUUCUUUUACCACGUUAUCCACCGUCCAUUGCAGUGCUUUGAUGCUGCACGAUGAGAAAUCAACCGCCACGCCCACUCUCCUAGCACUUGUCAUUUUCUCUCUCUCACUACAACAACCAACGAUGUGGUCUCUUAGUAAUGUUUUUUACUUGUGUUUGUGUCCAUGGGAAUUAGAAUUCUAUUUUGGUUUGUUGUUUUGGUCUGUGAAGGGUUGACACUGAAAAAGCGCAAUUUGUGAGGCUGAUACUGGAAGAGCGGCAAUUGAGUUCUGCGUUAGUGGCUCACACUGUUCCACACAUUUAUUGCCUUUUUGAAUUUGAGGUUCGAUAAUUCUCACUCACACUAGGAUCAGA
rnacentral:sRNA from 1 species